rnacentral:lncRNA from 1 species
GGACUUCCAAUCUCCUCUUCUCUCUCUCUACUCUGAUCCUUCCAUCCUUGCAUGUAUAUUAUCAUCGCGAACUGCUGCUAAUCUGCAAAUUGUAAUUUUACUAAUCAGUAAUCAGUACAGUGGUGGUUGCAUCGAUUCGCAUUAAGAUUCUGUUCAUGCUUAUGCCUUUGCUGUGCUGGUUGUAACUGUGUCGCCAUUAGAGGUGACGCGACGGCGCGGAGGACAGGAAGGAGGUUAGGCCGUCUUUCUUUAUUGCGCGCCAUAUCUGUUUCGAUGUCGCCGUUGGUGUGUUUAGUGUACUUAUCUUUCUUACUGGCACUUAGCUACCGAUUCUUAUUCGUUUGCGUCCUUUUUGUAGCCUAGAUUUUGA